AUGGAAAGCCGGAGGGCCAACGCUACUCUUCAGGAGCAGCUAGGUGAAGUUAAGACCGCCUUGCGCGUCAAGGGGGAGGAGUGCAGCAAGCUCUCCGCGAAGCGCGAUCUGCUUACUGCGCAGCUGGCCGAGCAGAAGGGGCUGCUCAAGAAGACGCAGGACGAGGCUGAGAAGAAGGAGGCUGCUCUCCUGGCCGAGUUCGAGAGCGAGCGCUCCUCCUGGACCGACAAGGAGGCGAUGCUGACCUCUGGCUUCCAUGAGAUUGAGGAUAUCAUCGAUGACUUCUUCCCUGGCCACUCGCAGGCAGUCCCUCUGGCCAUCGAGGCUGAUCGUGAGGCGCGAAGGGCAAACGACGAGGAGAUUGCCGCCAACGCUCCCUUGACCGUUGAUGAGCAGCUUCUGAGCAUUGAGGCCCGUCUUCAUCCGGCCCACCGGCGGAUGCGCCGGCUUCAGCGUGCCGGCGCCCAGGCAGUUGUCGCCCUGUGGCCAGACAUGCCGGCUCUACGCACCGCCAGCCGAACUGCCGACUGGUUGGAGGUCGCAGCCGGCCGUCUUGAGGCCUGGAAGGGUUCCUCGGCCAGGGCCGGAGCGCGCCGAGCCUUGGAAUUCGUCAAGGCGUGGUAUCCGGGGCUGGACCUGGACCGUCUGGCCGCGUUCCGAUCAGAGGCCCAGGCCGAGCUAGAGGUUGUGGAGAGCGCCCUUGUCGAGCGUGUGGCGGCCAUCAUCGAGUACACGGACACCAGUGUCCUCAUCCCCGAGCGGGCUGAAUGCGGCGAGGAGGUGCCGCUAGAGUGGUUCGGGAUGAACCCGGAAUAUGGCGAGGACUCGGCGGAGGUGAUUGACUCCAGCACCGAGGAAGAAGGCGAGGCAGAGGACGAAGGCGAGACGGAGGUGCCAGAGGACAGAGCGGGCGACCAGCCUCAGCUCGACCGUGCCUCUAGCAACGAGCCGCGUCCGACCGGGCUGACUGCCGCUGGCGGUGAUCAAGCCGAGACUGCCCAGCCGACUCCCCCGGCGCCUGACACCACCGUCUCCUCCGACCCUCCGAACCCGUCUGCUGCUCCUUAG
rnacentral:rRNA from 1 species